UUGGAGGGCAAGUCUGGUGCCAGCAGCCGCGGUAAUUCCAGCUCCAAUAGCGUAUAUUAAAGUUGUUGCAGUUAAAAAGCUCGUAGUUGAACCUCGGGAUCAAUGGAUCGGUCAUGCCAAUGGUAUGUACUGGUCAUAUUGGUUCUCACCUUCUAAGGAACCAUGAUGUCAUUCAUUUGAUGUUGUGGGGAAUUAGGACUGUUACCUUGAAGAAAUUAGAGUGUUUAAAGCAGGCUAACGCUUGAAUACAUUAGCAUGGAAUAAUGAAAUAGGACAUCGCAUUCUAUUUUGUUGGUUUCUAGGAUCGAUGUAAUGAUUAAUAGGGAUAGUUGGGGGCAUUAGUAUUCAAUUGUCAGAGGUGAAAUUCUUGGAUUUAUUGAAGACUAACUACUGCGAAAGCAUUUGCCAAGGAUGUUUUCAUUAAUCAAGAACGAAAGUUAGGGGAUCGAAGACGAUCAGAUACCGUCGUAGUCUUAACCAUAAACUAUGCCGACUAGGGAUCGGAUGAUGUUGAUUUUUUAAUGACUCAUUCGGCGCCUUACGGGAAAC
rnacentral:rRNA from 1 species